UUGAGGUGAAGUUCUGUUAUACACUCAUCCCCAGGCUCCAAAAGUCAGUGCAUCACAGAACUUUGUCUCGGA
rnacentral:pre_miRNA from 1 species